CGUCUGACCAUCAAUGUGGCCACGGUCGCUACAGCUGAGAACAUGAUUGAUCUUAUUGACGGGUACUGCCGCUUGGAAAACAACACAGAUGAAAGUGUUAUCCACCGACCAAAUAAAGAUGCCAAUGCAAGAACCUCCCUACCUGAAAUUCCUACUGGCAGAGAGACGAGCUCGCUCAGACACAGUAUGGGUUCAGAUAUCUACUGUGAGAUUGAUGAAAGGCCAAAAUCAGGUUCGGAAA